rnacentral:rRNA from 1 species
UACGAAGGGGGCUAGCGUUGUUCGGAAUCAUUGGGCGUAAAGGGCGCGUAGGUGGCUUUGUAUGUCUACCGUGAAAGCGUACGGCUCAACCGUAUUUUGUCGGUAGAAACUGCAGGGCUUGAGGCUGGGAGGGGCUGGUGGAAUUCCCUGUGUAGCGGUGAAAUGCGUAGAGAUGGGGGAGAACACUCGUGGCGAAGGCGGCCAGCUAGACCAGUUCUGACACUGAGGCGCGAUAGCGUGGGGAGCAAACAGG